rnacentral:rRNA from 1 species
CGGACGGGGGAGUAACGCGUGGGUAACCUGCCUUGUACUGGGGGACAACAGUUAGAAAUGACUGCUAAUACCGCAUAAGCGCACAGUAUCGCAUGAUACAGUGUGAAAAACUCCGGUGGUACAAGAUGGACCCGCGUCUGAUUAGCUAGUUGGUAAGGUAACGGCUUACCAAGGCGACGAUCAGUAGCCGACCUGAGAGGGUGACCGGCCACAUUGGGACUGAGACACGGCCCAA